GCCAGGCGCAGUAGAGCAUGCCUGUAAUCCCAGUGCUCAGGAGGCUGAGACAGGAGGAUCGAGAGUUCAAGGCCAGUCUCAGCAAAGUGAGGUACUGAGCAACUCAGUGAGAUCCUGUCUCUA
rnacentral:sRNA from 1 species